rnacentral:rRNA from 1 species
UACGUAGGGUGCAAGCGUUGUCCGGAAUUAUUGGGCGUAAAGAGCUCGUAGGCGGUUUGUCGCGUCGGCUGUGAAAACCUGGGGCUCAACCCCCGGGCCUGCAGCCGAUACGGGCAAACUAGAAUUCGGUAGGGGAGACUGGAAUUCCUGGUGUAGCGGUGAAAUGCGCAGAUAUCAGGAGGAACACCGGUGGCGAAGGCGGGUCUCUGGGCCGAUAUUGACGCUGAGGAGCGAAAGCGUGGGGAGCAAACAGG